UACGUAGGUGGCAAGCGUUGUCCGGAAUUAUUGGGCGUAAAGAGCGUGUAGGCGGUUAGGUAGGUCCGUUGUGAAAACUCGAGGCUCAACCUCGAGACGCCGAUGGAAACCAUCUGACUAGAGUCCGGAAGAGGAGAGUGGAAUUCCUGGUGUAACGGUGAAAUGCGCAGAUAUCAGGAAGAACACCCGUGGCUAAGGCGGCCCUCUAGUACGGUACUGACGCUGAGACGCGAAAGCGUGGGGAGCGAACAGG
rnacentral:rRNA from 1 species